AUUACAUUAGCCCGAGUACUGCGGUUACAAAAACGAUGCACAUUAGCGAAAUGUGAGUUUACCUGCUCAUUGCGAUGUGGACGAUCACUUUGUCGGCAUCGACAAAGCCCAGCUGCCGUUCCGCCUUGUUUAACAGACUCUCGUUAAUUAUCCCUUCGACUAACCAAAAUCUAUAACGUUUUUAUCCUUUGUAUUAAGAACGCUCUUUGAAAACCACGCACUGGAAGCGAAAUAGUUAAAUCACGCGGACGCUUGAGAUCAUAUAAAUUAUCAGAUGUAAAGAUAAUGAAGCAUCGCAGCUAUCCCAGGAAUUCCCGUCUCCUCGUUCAUUACAAAAGAGCUAACAAUGAGCUAUGGCACGUUCGUUACGGUCAUUAUUUGCUAAGCUUAAUUACCUGGCCUAUUCAACGCUAUCUACAGAACCGAUCGAUAUGAAAUAAAUCAAUUUAAUCUAAUUAAAAGCAUUACAUGUUUUUUGUUCGAUAACGAAACAAGACGAGGUAUUAGGAGAUGGAGUCGUGGAGAUUAGGAGGUGAGGUUGGAGCAGCGGGUCACCGAUCAUAUCUCGACAGUACCUACGUCAAGCCGUCCAUCCGCUGUCGAGGCUCUCUAUAAAUUAUUUAUCCAAUCUAAUUUAAUUUACAUCUCCCCUGACCUUUCGGUGUUGCAUCGACUCUAGAAAAAUAGCUCUUAGAAUCCACGUGACUCAUGCAACUUUCAUGGCACUUAUUGUAUUACGGGAGGAAUCGCAUUAGGCGGAGUCCGGCGGGAUGUUUCGGGAACGCGGGGAAUCAGAUGCGUGCGCCGACGACAUGAAUUUGAAAUGUUCUGGUUGAUUCCGAUUAAAUAAUGUGCAUGGCGCCGAUGGAAACUCUAGAAGUUCAGCUAUUCAGGUGUCGUUCGGUGCAUCGGCCGCCUGGCCGGGCCAGGAGGCCGGGCUGGCGCGCCUCGCCACGCAGUCUACGGCGGAAGUUUACGACCGAACGCCAGCCACUUUUAUUGACUACCUCACAUCGAAGCCUCCUCGCAGCCUCCCAUUCACUCCGUUUAAUCGACCGACCGACUGGUAGACUGACUGGUCAACUGACUGAUCAACAGCGCCAUAAACCAUCUUCACUGUCGCCGUAAAAGUCUCGUGCGGUUUUUCAUUUGCGCUGCGGAAUUAUAUCCGAAAUGAUGCGGAUUCUUCGCCAAGGAUCAAAAUGGAUAAAGUGCCGGUAAGUGUGAAACUACAAUUAUUCGCAGGAAAACCUUAAUUAAUCUAACCUAACUUCCUACGGCAGAGAUAAGUGACCUGCGCAACAUAUGCGCGUAUUACACAGAUUUAAAACAGUGAGAAGA